rnacentral:rRNA from 1 species
GACGAACGCUGGCGGCGCGCUUGACACAUGCAAGUCGAGCGAGAACCAGGCCUUCGGGCCUGGGGACAGCGGCGAACGGGUGAGUAACACGUGGGUAAUCAACCCUCGGUACUGGGAUAGCCCGGGGAAACCCGGCUUAAUACCGGAUGGCCCUUCGGAUCUUCGGUUCUGAAGGAAAAGGUAGCUUCGGCCUCCGACCGAGGACGAGCCCGCGGCGGAUUAGCUUGUUGGUUGGGUAACGGCCUACCAAGGCGGCGAUCCGUAGCUGGUCUGAGAGGACGAGCAGCCACACUGGGACUGAGACACGGCCCAGACUCCUACGGGAGGCAGCAGUGGGGAAUCUUGCGCUAAUGCGGGAAACCGUGACGCAGCGACGCCGCGUGAGGGAAGAAGGCCUUCGGGUUGUAAACCUCUUUCAGGAGGGACGAAGCUACUCGGGUUAAUAGCCCAGAGGGUGACGGUACCUCCAGAAGAAGCCCCGGCUAACUACGUGCCAGCAGCCGCGGUAACAC